AUUUUCCCAGUAAGACUCACUCAUCGCUCUUCGUUCAUCUUCCUAACGUAAGAAAAUGUUCUCGACAUCAUAAGAAUGUAUGGCUUAUGUAUUUACAUUAACAGUUAGAUUGCAUAGCCCAAUGAAGUGACCUUAACAUCUACAAAGUAUGACUUGGCAUAUUCCAAUGGAAAUUAUUCAACUCAGUUUGAAGGAAUAGGGUAAGAUCUGUAGUGACUACGGC